UUUUUCACCCAUGUCUUUUGCGCACUUUUUGUUUCCUGGGCGAGUUCGCUCGCCACCAGGACCCAACCAUAAACCUUUUUUUAUGCAGUUGCAAUCAGCGUCAGUAUAAUAAUUCAAUUUAUUAAAACUUUCAACAACGGAUCUCUUGGUUCUGGCAUCGAUGAAGAACGCAGCGAAAUGCGAUACGUAGUGUGAAUUGCAGAAUUCAGUGAAUCAUCGAAUCUUUGAACGCACAUUGCGCCCUUUGGUAUUCCAAAGGGCAUGCCUGUUCGAGCGUCAUUUGUACCCUCAAGCUUUGCUUGGUGUUGGGCGUCUUUUUGUCUCUCCCCUUGUUGGGGGAGACUCGCCUUAAAACGAUUGGCAGCCGACCUACUGGUUUUCGGAGCGCAGCACAAAUUUGCGCCUUCCAAUCCACGGGGCGGCAUCCAGCAAGCCUUUGUUUUCUAUAACAAAUCCACAUUUUGACCUCGGAUCAGGUAGGGAUACCCGCUGAACUUAAG
rnacentral:rRNA from 1 species